CUUGUUGUUUUGCUACUCUCACUUUGGAGUUCGGAUGGUGUCUAGCAACGUUGGGUACCUCGUUUCUUGUGUGAGCGAGUGGUUGCUGUUUACGACGUGUUCAUAUAUCGAUUUGUAGUGCUGUAAUGUGCAAAUUAGCGGACUUUAUAGCGGCUCUCUAUUUUCCGUCGUUGUCUUUCGAGCAGCGCCUGCUGUUCCGGUAAAAAUCGAGUUGAAUGAAUCGCCACAGCCCCAACGUAUAUCGCGCAGUGUUGACCAAGACCAAGUCCAGCAGGAAUUCUGGCAUGGUAUGUGGCUGCACGGAGGAUUCCGAAAAAGAAAAACAACAACAUGGCUAAUAGGAUGUUGCUGCCCAGGGAGUCCUGGCCGAAGAGGUUUACUCAUUCCAGAAGCAAGAAUUGUACAAUUGUAAGGCGAAUGGAAAUAAACUGACAUCGACUGAGAUA